UACGGAGGGUGCGAGCGUUGUCCGGAAUCAUUGGGCGUAAAGGGCGCGUAGGUGGCGCGGUAAGCGUGCGGUGAAAGCCUGGGGCUCAACCCCGGGUCGGCCGUGCGAACUGCUGGGCUUGAGCACUGUAGAGGCAGGCGGAAUUCCGGGUGUAGCGGUGGAAUGCGUAGAGAUCCGGAAGAACACCGGUGGCGAAGGCGGCCUGCUGGGCAGUUGCUGACACUGAGGCGCGACAGCGUGGGGAG
rnacentral:rRNA from 1 species